GACCUCAAAUCAGGUAGGACUACCCGCUGAACUUAAGCAUAUCAAUAAGCGGAGGAAAAGAAACUAACAAGGAUUCCCCUAGUAACUGCGAGUGAAGCGGGAAAAGCUCAAAUUUAAAAUCUGGCGGUCUUUUGGCUGUCCGAGUUGUAAUCUAGAGAAGUGUUAUCCGCGCUGGACCGUGUACAAGUCUCCUGGAAUGGAGCAUCAUAGAGGGUGAGAAUCCCGUCUUUGACAUGGACUGCCAGGGCUUUGUGAUGCGCUCUCAAAGAGUCGAGUUGUUUGGGAAUGCAGCUCAAAAUGGGUGGUAAAUUCCAUCUAAAGCUAAAUAUUGGCGAGAGACCGAUAGCGAACAAGUACCGUGAGGGAAAGAUGAAAAGAACUUUGGAAAGAGAGUUAAACAGUACGUGAAAUUGCUGAAAGGGAAACGCUUGAAGUCAGUCGCGUUGUCCAGAGAUCAACCUUGCUUUUGCUUGGUGCACUUUCUGGUUCAACGGGUCAGCAUCAAUUUUGACUAUUGGAAAAAGGUUGAGGGAAUGUGGCAUCUUUGGAUGUGUUAUAGCCCUUGGUUGUAUACAAUGGUUGGGAUUGAGGAACUCAGCACGCCGCAAGGCCGGGUUUAACCACGUACGUGCUAGA
rnacentral:rRNA from 1 species